GGGGUUCUCUGUGCCUCCUGGAUUUUGAUGCCUGUUUCCUUCCCCAAAUUAGGGAACUUCUCUGCUAUGAUUUGCUCCAAUAUACCUUCUGCCCCUCUCUCUCUUUCUUCUUCUUCUGGGAUCCCAAUUAUUCUAAUGUUGUUUUGUCUUAUGGUAUCGCUUAUCUCUCGAAUUCUGCCCUCGUGAUCCAGUAGUUGUUUAUCUCUCUUUUUCCCAGCUUCUUUAUUUUCCAUCGUUUGGUCUUCUAUAUCACUGAUUCUCUGUUUUGCCUCAUUUAUCCUAGCAGUUAGCGCCCCCAUUUUUGAUUGCACCUCAUUAAUAGCCUUUUUGAUUUCAACUUGGUUAGAUUUUAGUUCUUUUAUUUCUCCAGAAAGGGUUUCUCUAAUAACGUUCAUGCUUUUUCAAGCCCAGCUAGUAUCUUUAAAAUCCUGAUUCUGAACUCUAGGUCCAACAUCUUACUAAUGUCCGUAUUGAUUAGGUCCCUGACAGUCGGUAUUACCUCUUGUUCUUUUUGUUGAGGUGAUUUUUUCUGUCUUGUCAUUUUUGUCUAGAGGAGAAUAGAUGAAUGAGAGAACAAAAUGCUAACAGGGUAACAAUGUCCCCAGAAAAUAUACUCUAAACAAAUCAGAAAAGACCUGAAACCAGGGGAAAAGAAAGGGAAAGAAAGAAAAAAGAAAAAGAUAAAAACAAACAAAAACAACAAAAAAAAACCCAGAAUAUGAUCAAAUAUGCUCAGGCUGGUGCAUAGGUCAGUGCCACACACUAGAUUCGGGGUGUAUUUUGGUCUGUUAGAAGAAAGUGCCUCCCAAAAUUUUAAGGAAAAACUUAUAUAUGUACAAAAAUAAGGGUUGAUACGUUGAAGGGAUGGAAUAUGACUGUAAAGAUGAAAAUUAUAAAAAUUUUAUAAAAGGAAUUGAUAAGAAGUUGUUUGAAAAAAGAAAGAAGAGGUUAAAAAAAAAAAAGGAGAGAAUGUGAUCGGGCAGGAGACUAGAACAAAGCCAUACACUAGAGAUUUAGGGUAUAUUUUGAUCUGUUAGAAGAAACUGUAUCUCAAAAUUUUAAAGAGAGAACAACUUAAAUAUAUAUAUGCCAAAAAUAAGGGUGACUACUAUGAAGGGAUAGAAUAUGACUCUAAAAAUGAAAAAUAAAAAUGUUUUAUAAAAAAGGGAUUGAUAAGAUGUUGGUUGAAAAAGGGAAAAAGAAAAGUUCAAAAAAAAAAGACAGUUAAAAAAAAUUAACUUCAAAAGACUAAAGAAUCAUGGUAAAAAAGCCGUGAAUUCUAUGUGCAGUAUUCCCCCAGCGCUGGAGUUCUGCCGUUCUCAUUGAUCGGUGAACUUGGUCUUGGCUGGCUGGUCUCGCUGAUCUUCUGGGGAGGGGCCUGUUGCCGUGGUUUCCAAAUGUCUCUGCCGGAGGCGGAAUUGCCCCGCCCUUGCCCCCUCCCGGCUAAGUGAUCUGCUCGGGUUUGCUCUCCGGGGCUUUUGUUCCCUGCGAGCUUUCCGUACAGCUUUGGAGGCCGAGAGUGAAAAUGGCGGCCUCCCAAUCUCCGCCCCAGAGGAGCCGAGAACUCGGGGCCCGCUCCUCAGUGAGCCCCCAGAGAAAAGCCGUCAGUCACUCCUGUCUCCCUGGUCUCCGGCCGCACCCCGUGCUCGACCGGCCUGUGACCGCGUGUUUCUAUCUCUGGCCCCCGACCCUGGGUGGAGUCUCCAAACCCAGCAGAUCCUUGGGGUUCACUUCCGUGCCGCUCCUCCCGGGGGAGAAGGGGAGUCUCCCCGGAUCUGCCCUUGUUGGGUACCUGCUUCCAGAAAGUGGUCGCUUUUCUGUUCAGAGUUGUUGCUAUUCUUUUCUUCGAUCUCCUGUUGGGUUUGUAGGUGUUCAGAAUGGUUUGAUCCCUAUCCAGCUGAAUUCCUGAGACCAGACGAAAUCCAGGUCUCCUACUCCUCUGCCAUCUUGCUCCGCCCCCCCAACUGGAAUCUAAAUAAAAACUUAAAAAGGUCUUUCACUAAAGUUUUAAUUUUUUCUCUUUAAGGUUUUGAACAUCUGUCACUAGAUUUACUCCUAAGUAACUUAGAUUUUUCUGCUAUUAUGUAUGAUGUCUCUGGUGGCUUUAAAGUAUGUUCACACAUUCUUUGAAAUGCCUCCCUUUAAAAGGUGGAGUUUAACUCACUCUUACUAGGUGUGAGAUGGACUUAGAGACUUAGUACUGUGGAAAAAAUAAAGCAGGAGAAAUUCAGAGACUAGAUCAUAAAGGCUUCUUCCUUGCUCUUUUUCAGAUCAUUCUCUGUGCAGGAAGGCAGUUAUCAUGUCAUGAGAAUAUUCCUGCAGUCUUAGAGAGAGGUCCAAAUGAAGGGAACUGAGACCUGGUUGAGGCCUGCAGCCUCCAUCCCUAUGAGCAGGCCAUCUUGGAAGGAGAUCCUCCAGCUCCAGUCAAGGAUUCAGAUGACUCCAGCCCCCAGCCUCCACCAUGAACCUGCAACCUCAUUAGAGAUCCUGAGCCAGAAUCAUCCAGCUGAGCCACUCCCACAUUCCUAAUCCUCAAUACCGUAAGAGUUGAAGAAAUGGAGGCUUGGAGAUGAAGAGAAUUUACCAGGAUUAUAGAGGAAAGUGAAAAUACGGAUAUGGUGAUUAAGAGCUUACCAGUUUGCAGAACUCAAAAUACACACACCUCGUAUGGAACACCAGGCAAGCCAGUAUUACACGACUGGAGAUGAAGAAAUGAAAGCAUGGAGAUGAAGAGAAUUUACAAAAUUAUAAGGCAAGUUUCCCUGCUGCUAAAAUCAAGGAUUCCAGCUUCCGUUUGGGUUCAAAAGCAUAAACUACUUUACCAGACGUUGUCCACAGAAGGAUCUUCUGCCAGCCAGACUGCAAAAUGAGAAGAUAGAUUCUCCAUGAAGUCCCGCUGGAACAGUGGUUUUCAAACUGUAGUUGACAUCAGAAUCACCUGAAGGGCUUGUGAAAACACAUUCCUGGACCCCACCCCCCAAGUUCCUCACUCAGCAGAUCUGGGAAGGGGCCUUUUUAACAAGUUCCCAGGGGAUGGAGAGGUUAACCCUACUGAGAACCACUGCCUUAGAGUGUUCAAGAAUGGCGCUACCCGUUACCUCUCUAGCUCUCUUCAUGGUAGAUGGUGUAGACUUAUAAAAGAUGGACACGCUUUGCUCAAGGACAAGCUCAAGGACAAGAAGGCACUUGUCCUGGAGCUACAUAUAAUGACAGAACAUGGAAAACAGAGAUUUAAGUAUGAAGCAGCAGAAUUGCUAGAAAUCUUUGCAUAGGUUUCUAGAUCGGGAAACAAAUUAGAAAAGGAACUUGCCUCUAAACAAGAGGAAUUUUAGGUACAGGCUAAGCUAGCUUCUUUUACAAAAUAAAUAUUUGGGGAGUGAAUAUUAAGUGGUACCUUGUUCUUUCAGUACUUGGUUGUGAGAGAAACUAGCCAAUUUAUAGGCCUGGUUACACAACAUCAAGAUCUAUAUCAUCUAGCUCAUGUAUUUAGUUAGAAUGCUUGAUAUUACUCAGGCUGCUGAUAGAGGU